rnacentral:sRNA from 2 species
CGAGUUGGGUGCUAGGGUUCCGGCGUCGUGGUGACGUGUCUGGUCCGAGAGCCACCCGCCGGCACGGGAGCAAUCGUGCCGGACACGGCGGGACAAAAGCCCGGGAGAC